UACGUAGGGGGCAAGCGUUGUCCGGAUUUAUUGGGCGUAAAGAGCGUGUAGGCGGUUCGGUAGGUCCGUUGUGAAAACUCGAGGCUCAACCUCGAGACGCCGAUGGAAACCAUCGAACUAGAGUCCGGAAGAGGAGAGUGGAAUUCCUGGUGUAGCGGUGAAAUGCGCAGAUAUCAGGAAGAACACCAAUGGCGAAGGCAGCUCGCUGGGACGUGACUGACGCUGAGACGCGAAAGCGUGGGGAGCAAACAGG
rnacentral:rRNA from 1 species